rnacentral:ncRNA from 18 species
GGGAAUCCGGUGCGAAUCCGGAACUGUCCCGCAACGGUGUACUCAUGCGCGUAUGCCCGCAUACACGCAUGAGCGUCAGUCCGAGGACC